UUUCUUUGUGUCCACACACCUUUUUUGUCCUAACAAUAACCUGGCUGAGUUAAAGCGAGAGCAGCAGGUGAACAAAGUGCAGAGUGUAUCAUGGGGUCUGGCUGCAGGGUAACAGCAGGUCCUGCUAAUGAUGCAAGACGUGUUUGUGAUGUGGAGGCUCUCUGGGGAGGCAGGGUUCAGGUGAACAUGCAGCCAGGAAGCAGCCCACUGGGACCAGUUACCAAGUCUGUUUCCCAUCAGGUUGGAGGGUACAGACAAUAGAUGUGGGAACACCUUCAGCUUUAACCCCAUCUGACCUACCUCUUGAUGAAUGUGACCUCUGCCCUGGAAAAUCACCCAAUCUAUCCAACUCUUAAAGACAACGCAGGCAGAGAGGGAAUCUUCAAACAUGUCACCUUAACUCAUAUCUCCUCCGUAAUGGCUCAGAAUGGGAAAUACUCUUCAGCUCAUCCAGGGCUGUGAGACAGACUGUAUUUGAACAUGAACUGGGAAAAACCAAGGCAAAGAUGUUGGCAGCUGUGAUGUGUGUUGAGAGGAAUGCACCGUUGUUAUCACUCACUGAGUUAUGCAAGAAUGGUUCGGUGGAAACCUUUGCCUGGUACAGUGUUGGGCCUCAGCCUCCUUAUGCACAGGCUAAGCACACACUCAACGACAUGUUGAUACACACACACACAGAGCCAAGAAGAUCCUGCCCUGAGAAUUUUCUAAUUACCCUCAGUGAAUGGGAGGCAGUCAGACACACACAGAGAGCCAACCGCCUGGGUUAUCACACACACCACCAACACACCCCGUUCUUCUUCCGAAUAUACUAUUUUUAGCUUUCAUCUAAGGCUUUUUUUUCACAGUGGGCACAAGGGAGGCAUAGUGAGGAGAAGACCUGUUUAAGUGUAACUUUGUAGCCCAAGCCAAAAUAAAAAGUUUUCUUUAGAGCAUAUACUGCCAGUUGAUUCUCCUUCAUAGAGGAACACAUCAGGAGAAGUCUAAGAAGAACUAUUGCUUUAACUAAAUAAACAGACGUCUUGACAUUUAGGAGUAAAAACUGUCAAAUCAAAGGAAAAGUUCUUUUUUUAAAACAUUUGGCCAAUAAAGUCAGCAACAGAAAGAAAAUGUUUAAAAUGUUUUUUGCAAAGAUUAUGAUAUUCCCGAAAACCAUUUUAUGCUUCAGCACGUCUCUUUCUUGGUUGGAUGCUGACUAUAAAACGACAAGUUUUAUAUUGUGUAUUGUAUUCCUAAAAUUCUUGCCUAGUACAGUCCACUACAGUUUUCUGGGGGAAACCUGCUGGAACCCAUGAUUUUUAACAUGUGUGCUUGAAGACUUUUAUGAUUAAGGCAAGAAUUUGACAUAAAACAGUACACUCCAAAAUGGCGGCAUGUGACAGGUUUUCAUUUGCUCACAUACUCACUCACUGACAUUAAAACUGAAAAGAAGAUAUUGUAAAAAAAAAAAUAAAAAUCAAACAAUUAU